GCUGCAGGGGUGGGAGCUGCUGGUGAGGUCAGGGCUGCAGGGAGGGAGCUGCUGGUAAGGUCAGGGCUGCAGGGAGGGAGCUGCUGGUAAGGUCAGGGCUGCAGGGAGGGAGCUGCUGGUAAGGUCAGGGCUGCAGGGAGGGAGCUGCUGGUAAGGUCAGGGCUGCAGGGUGGGAGCUGCUGGUGAGGUCAGGGCUGCAGGGAGGGAGCUGCUGGUGAGGUCAGGGCUGCAGGGAGGGAGCUGCUGGUAAGGCCAGGGCUGCAGGGAGGGAGCUGUGGGCAAGGCUGGGGAGGGGGGCACAUUUUAAAAACUCUAAUGAUGUCAUCUUCAGCUGCCAUUUUGUGUACAAAUGCAGGAAAAGUUCACCUUUAAUCUCUUGGCAAUAAGCAAUGCUUUGUGCAGGUGGGGGAUGGUUAACAUUCACGGGUAGAACUGCUUGCCGCUGAAUUACUUUGUAUAUUUACACGGAUAUGUUUAUAGUUUGUUGUAUUUUGAAUUUUUACCAAAUGCUUUCUGUAUAAUCUCUGUGUAUAAACCUAUACAAUGUGUAUAUAGUCACUUGCUGUGUCUGGUUAUUGCAUAAUUUGAUGAAUAGAAGAUUAACAGUUGUGUCCGAUCUUUGUGUGAGGUGGAAAGUCACUGGAAAUGUGGACAUGCUUAUAAUCUACCUGCACUUAGAGACCUGGCUGUCCCCCUCUGAUAGCGCUACACCUGCCUCUUAAUGUUUUGGUGGGCUACAAUUCUCUCACUCCUAGACUCCCCUGUAAAGGAGGCGGCGUAGACAUCCUUCUCUCCCCUCAAUGUACCUUUCAACCAAUUAUAACUCCCCCUGCCCUAUCCUUUACUUCUUUUGA
rnacentral:lncRNA from 1 species